UCCAGCGUUGGUACCCAGCAC
rnacentral:misc_RNA from 1 species